AUGAGGAUCGUAAGUUGGAACUGCCGGGGACUCGGGAACGGCCCGGCAGUUCGUGGCCUCUUGGAUCUCAAGAGGGCGGAGGAUCCCGACGUGGUGUUUCUGUGUGAGACCAAACUGUACGAGAAGGAGAUGGAGCAAUACCGGUGGAAGUUGGGGUUGGUGAAUAUGUGUGUGAGGAAUCCGGAUGGAAGGAGUAGGGGGCUCGCUAUUUUGUGGAAGCGAGGAGUAAACCUCUCCUUGCGGUCUGUAGGGAGA
rnacentral:rRNA from 1 species